rnacentral:piRNA from 1 species
UCAGUUUUUAAAUCCCAUAAC